GUGGGGAAUAUUGCACAAUGGGGGAAACCCUGAUGCAGCAACGCCGCGUGAAGGAUGACGGUUUUCGGAUUGUAAACUUCUUUUCUUAGUGACGAAGACAGUGACGGUAGCUAAGGAAUAAGCAUCGGCUAACUACGUGCCAGCAGCCGCGGUAAUACGUAGGAUGCAAGCGUUAUCCGGAUUUACUGGGUGUAAAGGGAGCGCAGGCGGGUCUGCAAGUUGGAUGUGAAAUACCGUGGCUUAACCACGGAACUGCAUCCAAAACUGUAGUUCUUGAGUGAAGUAGAGGCAAGCGGAAUUCCGAGUGUAGCGGUGAAAUGCGUAGAUAUUCGGAGGAACACCAGUGGCGAAGGCGGCUUGCUGGGCUUUAACUGACGCUGAGGCUCGAAAGUGUGGGGAGCAAACAGGAUUAGAUACCCCUGUAGUCC
rnacentral:rRNA from 1 species